rnacentral:misc_RNA from 1 species
ACGAGUUGCGAGACUCCAAACCACCGCGAACCUACCGCUACGUUGCCUCGGCGGGCGGCUCCAGGGCGGAGCCUGCCGCCCCCCGCGGGGGGGGUGCCCGCCGCCGGCCCCGAAGACCCUGUCGCAUCGAAGGCCCCUCUGAGUUACUGCGCGAGCAGACGUCA